rnacentral:tRNA from 1 species
GGUGUCCUGGCGCAAUGGUAGCGCGUUGGUUUUCGGUUCCCGCUGAAACUCGCCAAAGGUUGUAGGUUCGAGCCCUGCGGACAUCG